rnacentral:rRNA from 1 species
UACGGAGGGGACUAGCGUUGUUCGGAAUUACUGGGCGUAAAGCGCACGUAGGCGGUUUGUUAUGUCGGAUGUGAAAGCCCUUGGCUCAACUGAGGAAGUGCAUCCGAAACUGGCAAGCUAGAGUACUAAAGAGGGUCGCGGAAUUCCCGGUGUAGAGGUGAAAUUCGUAGAUAUCGGGAGGAACACCGGUGGCGAAGGCGGCGACCUGGGUAGAUACUGACGCUGAGGUGCGAAAGCGUGGGGAGCAAACAGG